rnacentral:rRNA from 1 species
UGAGUAACACGUGGAUAACCUACCUAUAAGACUGGGAUAACUUCGGGAAACCGGAGCUAAUACCGGAUAAUAUUUUGAACCGCAUGGUUCAAAAGUGAAAGACGGUCUUGCUGUCACUUAUAGAUGGAUCCGCGCUGCAUUAGCUAGUUGGUAAGGUAACGGCUUACCAAGUCAACGAUGCAUAGCCGACCUGAGAGGGUGAUCGGCCACACUGGAACUGAGACACGGUCCAG